rnacentral:rRNA from 1 species
UACGUAGGGUGCGAGCGUUGUCCGGAAUUACUGGGCGUAAAGGGUGCGUAGGCGGUCCGUCACGUCCGCUGUGAAAACCCAGGGCUCAACCCUGGGCUUGCAGUGGAUACGGGCAGACUAGAGGUAGGUAGGGGAGAAUGGAAUUCCUGGUGUAGCGGUGAAAUGCGCAGAUAUCAGGAGGAACACCGGUGGCGAAGGCGGGUCUCUGGGCCGAUACUGACGCUGAGGAGCGAAAGCGUGGGGAGCGAACAGG